AGCGAGAUCCCGUCACUAGCGACCUGGAGUCGAGGCCGGAUCUGUAUCAGAGAACACAUUAGACGACAUCGGGAGAGUGGUGCUAGGGUGCGCAGAUGAAACAUGCAAAGAUGCUUGAGCUGAGGGAUGCACCCGUUGCAGAGGGCAGUCAGUCGAUGACGGAUGACGAGAUCUGCACUCAGGUGCUUGGGCAACGAUCGGGUGGCUGGUUGAAUGGUCUUGGGAGUGGAUACGUCGCCCCAACAUCAUCAUCUUCUUUCGGUGCGGCGUCUCGUGCUGAGACUGACCGAGAGCGUCGAGCCGCCGAGGCUUGAUAGGAGGCGAUGGUUAUCCGGAUGCAAAUGAUGGAAGCGGAGAACCAGCAAUUGAAAGAAAAGAUGUUGAACUGGGAAGCGAAGAUGAAAGCCAUGAAGAAUUGGAAAGUGCAGAUCGAACAAAUGAUGCGCCAAUCACGUCCAGAUGAUGCGGGUGACUCCUCUCAUUAGAAGGUAUGUAAAAGCUAGUGACAAUUAAUUGAAAUAGAAAAGCAUGAGGAUUUCAAUUAGAAUAAAUACUUUAUCCUUUUUUUUACUUUCAAAAUACAUCAAUAGAUAUUUAAUUAUUAUUGGUAUAAUGUUAUGGUCUUCCUGUCUAAUCAAUGACCUCAUUAGGG